UCUGGACCUCCAUAGGGGUUUGACAAUGAUUUUUUUUUAUUAUUUUUUUUUUUCUGAAACCAUCGUACAAAAACAAAAUUGCAGAGAAGUGGAAGAGAGAAAAUCUUCAGUUCCGUUUUCAGUCUGUUAAAGACCUGGGACUGGGGUCUCCUGUGUGUGGCAGGUGGACACACGGAGCUGCCUUCAAAAGGAGUCACCACAAGGCCUCAGCCUGGCUCUCCUCCACCUGUGUCUCCACAAAGGUUAUGCAUGCGAAGAUCCAUACUCCUGAGAAGAUCCAGCUCUCCACGUGGAAACUAAGUGAACUCCUCUGAGGACCAGCCCUCUGGAUGCAGACCAUCUCUGCUACAGCAGGCUGCAGGCUCUGCCCACAUCCCCAUAGCUGUUUUCACCUGCCUCUGCCUGUUGCUGUAGGGCACCGAGCUGCCCCUCUUCCCCUCAUGGGGUGCUAGCAGAUAGCCCGAGAUCUGCCAGGGCCAUCUAUGUGGACGCCCUGCGGUCCUGAUUUAGCAAAGCACUUAAACACAUGCUUAAGGGAUUUGCUGAACUGGAUGCUGCUCUCUCCGCUGGCUCCGUCCACGUCUCCUGGCUUCCUGACCACUUGGCUCCAUCACUGCUUUCUUUACCCUUUAGGAUGCUCCCACCAUCCAAAGCUGGACCCUUCUCCUUCUCCACGGUGCCAGAGGUGCCUCACAAGAGGCGAGUUUAUUUAUUCAGUCCUGCUCUGCUCCAUCAGAGAGACCCCAACCGGGAGAAGUCAUCAUUCAUCAGCUUGGGAGGGACUCCCGCCUGCAGUAGCGUUGCUCUGCAGGGAAAUGCAAACCUGCCAAGCUUUACUUACCUUAGCCCAGCAUGAGGCGACGCACGCUGAUAGAUGGCACGGCUCCGACACGCUUUGGAGAUCGGGAUGGGGAAAUGCAUCACCUGGCAGGAGAAGGGCUCGCAUGCCCCCACCACUACAUGUUUUUUCAUGAGUCCCAAGCCCUGUGGGACGACACGAGAGUGGGAGCAAAGAAAGUGUGCAAAGCAGCCCUUGGUGAAGUAUGCACAGCUGGAGGCGUCUCGCAGUGCUCUCGCAGGGGAAGAGGAACAGGGGAGAGCUGUGAGCGAUGAUUAACUGUAGCCAUUAAAUGCAGAAAGCAGUGACAUAAUUUUGGGAACAUGAAUGUACCAUUUGAACUAUCCUAGAAGAAUGUCAAGUGCCGUGAAAAUAACACCAUAUGCUUAGAGAGCCUGUUCUGGAGGUUUCCAGACCACAAAGCUGGAUUUCGCUGAGCUGGAGCACCCCGGCGGGCUCCUUUGCAGACGCGGCUCCUGGGGUGGCAGACCCUGGGAACUUGUCCUUUGCAUGGGGCAGCUGUGCCAAACCCUCUCUAGAGCCACCUAGACUGACAGGCAGGUGCCAGUGUGGAACUGUGUGUUCUCCAUACGAGGCCAUGCAGUUUGUGAAUCAAUGACCGGACAGUUGUUUUGCUGUGCUGACACAUGUCUGGAUGGGAUCCCAAGGCUUUCCCCAGAAGAAUCUGGAUUCUGGUUCUG